rnacentral:rRNA from 7 species
AGAGUUUGAUCAUGGCUCAGAUUGAACGCUGGCGGCAGGCCUAACACAUGCAAGUCGAACGGUAACAGGAAGCAGCUUGCUGCUUUGCUGACGAGUGGCGGACGGGUGAGUAAUGUCUGGGAAACUGCCUGAUGGAGGGGGAUAACUACUGGAAACGGUGGCUAAUACCGCAUAACGUCGCAAGACCAAAGAGGGGGACCUUCGGGCCUCUUGCCAUCAGAUGUGCCCAGAUGGGAUUAGCUUGUUGGUGAGGUAACGGCUCACCAAGGCGACGAUCCCUAGCUGGUCUGAGAGGAUGACCAGCCACACUGGAACUGAGACACGGUCCAGACUCCUACGGGAGGCAGCAGUGGGGAAUAUUGCACAAUGGGCGCAAGCCUGAUGCAGCCAUGCCGCGUGUAUGAAGAAGGCCUUCGGGUUGUAAAGUACUUUCAGCGGGGAGGAAGGUGUUGUGGUUAAUAACCGCAGCAAUUGACGUUACCCGCAGAAGAAGCACCGGCUAACUCCGUGCCAGCAGCCGCGGUAAUACGGAGGGUGCAAGCGUUAAUCGGAAUUACUGGGCGUAAAGCGCACGCAGGCGGUCUGUCAAGUCGGAUGUGAAAUCCCCGGGCUCAACCUGGGAACUGCAUUCGAAACUGGCAGGCUUGAGUCUUGUAGAGGGGGGUAGAAUUCCAGGUGUAGCGGUGAAAUGCGUAGAGAUCUGGAGGAAUACCGGUGGCGAAGGCGGCCCCCUGGACAAAGACUGACGCUCAGGUGCGAAAGCGUGGGGAGCAAACAGGAUUAGAUACCCUGGUAGUCCACGCCGUAAACGAUGUCUACUUGGAGGUUGUGCCCUUGAGGCGUGGCUUCCGGAGCUAACGCGUUAAGUAGACCGCCUGGGGAGUACGGCCGCAAGGUUAAAACUCAAAUGAAUUGACGGGGGCCCGCACAAGCGGUGGAGCAUGUGGUUUAAUUCGAUGCAACGCGAAGAACCUUACCUGGUCUUGACAUCCACAGAACUUUCCAGAGAUGGAUUGGUGCCUUCGGGAACUGUGAGACAGGUGCUGCAUGGCUGUCGUCAGCUCGUGUUGUGAAAUGUUGGGUUAAGUCCCGCAACGAGCGCAACCCUUAUCCUUUGUUGCCAGCGAUUAGGUCGGGAACUCAAAGGAGACUGCCAGUGAUAAACUGGAGGAAGGUGGGGAUGACGUCAAGUCAUCAUGGCCCUUACGACCAGGGCUACACACGUGCUACAAUGGCGCAUACAAAGAGAAGCGACCUCGCGAGAGCAAGCGGACCUCAUAAAGUGCGUCGUAGUCCGGAUUGGAGUCUGCAACUCGACUCCAUGAAGUCGGAAUCGCUAGUAAUCGUGGAUCAGAAUGCCACGGUGAAUACGUUCCCGGGCCUUGUACACACCGCCCGUCACACCAUGGGAGUGGGUUGCAAAAGAAGUAGGUAGCUUAACCUUCGGGAGGGCGCUUACCACUUUGUGAUUCAUGACUGGGGUGAAGUCGUAACAAGGUAACCGUAGGGGAACCUGCGGUUGGAUCACCU